CCUACGGGGGGCAGCAGUGGGGAAUAUUGCACAAUGGGGGAAACCCUGAUGCAGCGACGCCGCGUGAGCGAUGAAGUAUUUCGGUAUGUAAAGCUCUAUCAGCAGGGAAGAAAAUGACGGUACCUGACUAAGAAGCCCCGGCUAACUACGUGCCAGCAGCCGCGGUAAUACGUAGGGGGCAAGCGUUAUCCGGAUUUACUGGGUGUAAAGGGAGCGUAGACGGCAUGGCAAGCCAGAUGUGAAAUACCGGGGCUCAACCCCGGGACUGCAUUUGGAACUGUUAAGCUGGAGUGUCGGAGAGGCAGGCGGAAUUCCUAGUGUAGCGGUGAAAUGCGUAGAUAUUAGGAGGAACACCAGUGGCGAAGGCGGCCUGCUGGACGAUAACUGACGUUGAGGCUCGAAAGCGUGGGGAGCAAACAGGAUUAGAUACCCCAGUAGUC
rnacentral:rRNA from 1 species